AUUUAAGUAGCAAGAGCUACAGAUCCUGAGAAUGAACGUGGAAACCAGAAGCAUGCUUGUUGUUUUAUUAGAAGUGGAUGGGGAAAGGGGAAGGUAGGGGAAGGGAUACUAGCUUAGCUGCCUUUGUAGUUGUGUAGCUGUCCUCCCUGUCUGCUCUGAAAAGGGCUCUGACCAUGUUCAUAGCGGUAAAUACAGGAAACCAAGGGCCAGGGCCAGAGCUGACUGCUACCCCUAGUUUGGGCUGGAUCUGCCUGCUUCCUGGAUUGUUUCUUUGGCUCCAGUGAGCUUGAUAGUGAACCCUGCAGGUGAAAGCUAAGCUAGUUUCCACCCCAUAUGAACUAAUAGUUUGCCACGUCAAACGGCACUUCUGAAAGCAAUGUGUGUCACUGUGAAGGCAAGAUCUACAGCUCCUCUGGACAACAUGAUUGGCCCCAUAUAUCCCAUAAGCUGUGAAUUGGCUCCUUCACCUCUGCUGAGCUGGGAAGAGGCAACACUCACCUUAAGAAACUCCCUAACUCUUGUGCUGUCUAAUGCAUGCCUUGAGUGUGUUUGCUGUUUAAAGACUAUUCUUGGUGGAGGGCUGCUGGUGGUGUCAUGUUUCCAGGCAGCCUGAACACCAACUCCUACUGUAUACCUGUGGGCGAUGAGAUGCCCCCUUUGCUUGGCCUUUGGUCCCAGACGGUCCAGGUCUGAGGAUCCAAUAGGGAAGCUGGAGCACUGGGAAAAUGACACUAAGAUGGAAAAAAAAAAAAGCUCAUGGCCUCAGGAAGCCCGCCUUAUUCUUCAGGAGGUUAAUAAGCAAAGAAGGCAUCACUUGCAAGAUGUGUCCGUUUCUAGAACCUCUUAACUUGCUGGUCGGAUUGCUGUCAACAUUGUCAGGAUUGUGCCUUACUGACACCAAGGACAACAGGAGAUGAUGGUGCCACCAUUUGGCCAGUGCUGGGCUAUAGGUGACUUAAAGGAAGGAUUUUAGUAUUUCUGGUCUGUUGACAUGUAGCUAGCUAGGGUAAUCUCAGGAGGGUUGUCUACCUUUAUGCUGAGGCCUGUCUGAUGGCAAAGCCCUCAAACCCCACGGCCAUGAUGUAAAAUAAAUGCCCUCUUGUUAAACUGUUUUCUCAAUAGCACUGGUUCCAGUGAAAAAGAGCUCUAAUUUGCUCUCCCUUAGCUACCUCGGUGCCUUUUGCAUAAAGCCCUUCUGCAUAAAACCCAUCACUCAGCCCGCAGGCGCUAGCUAAGUGGCUGGACAGGCCUGAGCGGGCCAUCGGCCUCCUGUUCAUACAGUUUCAUCCCAGGGGCCGGGCUCCUCCUUCCCACUGGCAUUUUAUACUUGGUGGGGCAUUGUGGCCUGCAGAAGGCUUGGGACUGGUCCUGUAACUGUGUCCCCCCUGAAGGCUGAGUUGGCCAACUUGGGUUAGUCCCAGGUGACAGAAGGGAGAAACCAAAUGAAGCAGAAGAGCCAAUUGCCAAGAUCAGAUCUCGAUCAGUGAAACUUGACAGGAAGAACUUUAAAAAUGCUCAACAGUCUCAAGUGGCUUGAUGUAGGGGCUCCUACCCUGGUGUAGGACAGGCCCACUGCCUCAGCCACUUGGGUCGUGGUUAGUACCAGUUCUCUGAGGAAGACAUGUUGGAGACUGCCAGAAUCCCUGUACAUCGUUUUACGUGCUUGUGUCCAAGUGUGAAUUGUAAAUGGUCUAGUGUUUGCAUUAAACAAAGUGGACUCUU
rnacentral:lncRNA from 1 species